rnacentral:lncRNA from 1 species
UCCGCCCGCGGGGCCGCCGGGCGCUCCGGCCUGGGGCUCCGGCCUGGGGCGCGGCUGUGCUCCAGUGCUCCUCUGCAGCCCCUCUGCUGCGGGGCACAGUGAGGUCUUCAUGGAAAAAGUGUGUUGGUGCUUCCUACAUGGAUUCUGGUGGAGUCUGUACCAAAACAGUCACUCAGUUCCAGCUGGUUCUGAAUAUCUCUGUCGUCACCUCUCGGGCCAAGAGGAUGGUGAUCAGCAGCAGAGGAGAGUUUAUCUGCAGAUGAGGAAUAUUCCUGAUGCAGAAGAAGCCAGCUGA